rnacentral:rRNA from 1 species
AUGGGUGGUGAGAUGACACCAGGUCUAGAAGGGGUGGAGGGUAGGCUGAAGAAUCUGAAGCUCUCGGAGGCGGAGAAGAGGGGCAUCAAAAUCGGUAAGAAGCAGACCUGCUCCUCGAAGGUGAGCAUGUUUCAAGCAGUGGGUAAGCUCCUCUCAGAUAGGCCUGCAAAAGCAGAGUACGUGGGAAGAACAUUAGGAGGAGUUUGGAGCCCCUUUUCUGGUGUGGAUUGUAAAGACCUUGGCAGAAAUCGUUUCCUUUUCACAUUCCAUGAUGGAGCUAGUAAAGAUAGGGCUCUGAAUGAUAGACCAUGGAGGUUCAAUAAGGAUCUAUUGGUGAUGGAAGACUUUGUGCCAAGUAAAACCAUCGAUGAGUAUCAAUUCAAAAUGAUACCAAUCUGGGUGAGAGUCCAUGGCAUUCCCAUGGGCGUGAUGAGUAGAGAAACAGGGGAGUUG